rnacentral:lncRNA from 1 species
UCAGGGCCGAGAGGUAUGUGAGGUGGAGCCUUGUCUAGCACGUAAACAAUCUUCUCCAAUGUUAGGAGAAUCUUGACAUUACGAUACCAUGAUGGGAAAUUGUGCCCCUCUAGGCAAUGUUUGUCGAGUAUUUUCGUGAGUGUGCUUCCAACCAUAUCUAAAUACAGAAACAAUAAAAUAAAUUAGUUUGAUUGUCGAUUAAGUCAAACGAUUCGGGUCUCUAAACCGAAUGACACCACCCACCAUUUUUGGCAAAUUCCAUAUCCCUCAAGAUGGAAUCCGGGAGAUUUCAAUGAAAGCUCCUAGCGGGUUAUGGGAGGCUCACUAUUACCAAGCCCACCUCACGAUGAUACGAUGUUGGCUAGCAAAAAUAAUAAUGAGAGGGUAUUACUACCCAUUCACUACAACCUCUUGUGAUUACCCAUCUAUUUGGCCUCUAGAGAACAAUGCCUCACAAUGAUAUGAUGUUGGCACCAUUUCUCUUAGUUAAGUUUUGUCCCACCAUGCCGAUUUAGAUAGGGGUUCAAGUAUGACCUCACGAUGAUACGAUGUUGGCCACACUCGUUGCCUACCUUAACCACAUCAAAUGUUUAAAUAGAUUCCUCCUGAGUAUAAGCACGCACUUUGCACUCCCCCAUGAUAGGGUGAAGACGGUGUACGUGUCAUAAACGAUUGGAGCCUACCAUGGUAGAAGGCCACGAAGAAGUGUUCAAUAGCACCUGUCCACUUUCAACUUAAUAUUGUAUGUUGGUUGAGGGAUUUUAAGGUCUCAUCAUUUUAUUUAUUUAAUCACAUUCAAAUAAAUUGUGUCCUAUUAUAACUACUAGUCCAAAGUUAAUGAAAUUAGUAGCAUAUGAUAUCCCCACUAUUUGUUUUCAUAAAACAAAUCAAUAUCAAAACAUUUUUCAAAAUAUUGGAGAUAUAUAUAACUACUAAUUAUAUUCAUUAUAGUUUAGUAGCGUAUGAUACUCCCACUAUUUAUUUUGAGAAAAACAAAUCAAUAUGAAAAACGAAUUUUUCAAAUAUUGGAAGUAACUACUACUACUACGGUUUUUGCAUUCCUUUGAAAUUGGACUUUAUAGUUAUCUUAGGCUCUUGAAUGACCAUGGACUUAUUGGGUUAUUGGAACAAUGAGCCAACAUUGUUGAAUAAGAACUCGGGGAGGUUGUGUCAUUUUAAUUACGUGCUUUUCAAUCCAAAUAAAACAAUUUUUCAUUGAGCCAUUAGAAAUGAAAGACAAUCAUUCAUUGCUAAUUAGGGCGUUGGACCCAUUUAAUCUUUAAUCUCAUGUCAAAACACUCUUUUAAUUAUGUCUCCUUACCAAUAGUUAAAGAAACUCUAGUCUAGUACUAGAGGGAAUCAACCAAUUAAAAGAGAUUAAGAAGUAAUAAGAAUUACAAACCGAUUUGUACAAAUUCCUACAAAUUACACAUACUAAGAGGGAGAGAAAGAUUAAUGUCUAUCAUGACAAGAUCCAAUUGAAACAGUAAUUAAAACACAUUCCCAAGGUUCAAACAAUUUGAGUUUAGUGCCCUUUCUCAUAGCUCAAUUAUCGUUUAAGGAUUAAGUCCAUAGUCAACCAUUUUUUCUAACUACUUAAUCACAUUAAAUAAUUAAUUGGAAUGCAACAUAAACAAUUAGAUUUAGUGCAUAUGGGCAUAAUAAUAUUAUGAGUUUAAACAACCAAUAAAAAUAAAAUCAAAUAUUUUAACUUUUCAAAUAGUAGGGGCCUGAAUGCAAAUAUGAAAAGUUAGGGGUCAAACCGUAAAUACUUGAAAGUAUAAACAACGCUUUUAACAUUACAAAAAAGCCCCACAUGUGGGCAAUCCACUAGGGUGGCCGGCCAACAUAAUGGGGAUGGGAGGUUUCACCCAUCUUGCAUUAAACCAACACAAAGUAGAAAAAAUCUAAAUUUUACUUGUCACUUGGUUUUGCUUUAAGGACUUUUAUGAAAAAGGGUGAUGGAAAUUCACCUAGUCAAGUCUAGGAUUGAAUUAAAUUUUGGGAAAGCUAUGGAUGGUAAGUUUACCAUCCAAAACCACAAAACAAUGUAUGAAAAACAAAUGAAACCAUUUUUCACCAAAAACCAAACCAUGAACACCAAGAACAAAACCAUGAAAACAAUUUCAAGAUUUGUACUUUCUUGGUGAUUUUUCAAACCCAAAAACAAAAGUGACAAGAUCUAUUCUUUCUAGCUUCAAAGUGUGUGUGUGUGAUUCAAAAUAAAACACAAACACUUAGCCAAAAAACCCCCUUUGCCGUGCCCCCUUUUGGAACAAAACCCCAAAAUUUUGUUCUAAACUCUAUCUUCAUUCAUUCAUCCAAAACACUUUUGCAUACAUAUCUUUUCAACUAUUGAUUCAUAUUUUUCAACAUUUGAAAAACUAAAGAUAAACAUACUUUGAAUGAAGCAAUAACAUGUCAUACAUAAAAUUAAAACCCAUAUGCAUAAAAGCCAAAAGGACACAUCAAACAUAAACCUUUGGCUUUGAUACCACUUGAAGGGAAAUUGUGAGAUUUCAUGUGGGAUUUCUAGUGACUAGCAUGCAUAUACAAUUCAAAAUUUAUAUACGAAAGCAACGGAAGCAUUUCAACAUAUAUUAUCAAAGCUUUAGUCAUGCAAAUUCCCUUCAAGAUGCAUAGGUUUAUGUAUGAUGCAUCAAAAACAAUUUAUUGAAGAACAAAGUGUAGGAGUAGUUUUAUACCUCUUGAUCUAGACUUUAGACC